GGGGAUGUAGCUUAGUUAGCAGAGUGCUUGCCUUACAUUCACAAGGCGCUGGGUUCAAUCCCCAGCAUCACCA
rnacentral:tRNA from 1 species